AUUGAACGCUGGCGGAAUGCUUUACACAUGCAAGUCGAACGGCAGCACGGGGGCAACCCUGGUGGCGAGUGGCGAACGGGUGAGUAAUACAUCGGAACGUGCCCAGUCGUGGGGGAUAACGUAGCGAAAGUUACGCUAAUACCGCAUACGAUCUACGGAUGAAAGCGGGGGACCGUAAGGCCUCGCGCGAUUGGAGCGGCCGAUGUCAGAUUAGGUAGUUGGUGAGGUAAAGGCUCACCAAGCCGACGAUCUGUAGCUGGUCUGAGAGGACGACCAGCCACACGGGGACUGAGACACGGCCCAGACUCCUAGGGGAGGCAGCAGUGGGGAAUUUUGGAGAAUGGGCGCAAGCCUGAUCCAGCCAUUCCGCGUGCAGGACGAAGGCCUUCGGGUUGUAAACUGCUUUUGUACGGAACGAAAAGGCUCUGGUUAAUACCUGGGGCUCAUGACGGUACCGUAAGAAUAAGCACCGGCUAACUACGUGCCAGCAGCCGCAGUAA
rnacentral:rRNA from 1 species